AUUGAACGCUGGCGGCAUGCCUUACACAUGCAAGUCGAACGGCAGCACGGGAGCAAUCCUGGUGGCGAGUGGCGAACGGGUGAGUAAUGUAUCGGAACGUACCUUUCAGUGGGGGAUAACGUAGCGAAAGUUACGCUAAUACCGCAUAUUCUGUGAGCAGGAAAGCAGGGGAUCGCAAGACCUUGCGCUGAUUGAGCGGCCGAUAUCAGAUUAGCUAGUUGGUGAGGUAAAGGCUCACCAAGGCGACGAUCUGCAGCGGGUCUGAGAGGAUGAUCCGCCACACUGGAACUGAGACACGGUCCAGACUCCUACGGGAGGCAGCAGUGGGGAAUUUUGGACAAUGGGCGCAAGCCUGAUCCAGCCAUGCCGCGUGAGUGAAGAAGGCCUCGGUUG
rnacentral:rRNA from 1 species